UGGGGGAUAGUUCAACGGCAGAACUGCAGAUUCUGGAUCUGUUAAUCUUGGUUCGAAUCCAGGUCCCCCAG
rnacentral:tRNA from 1 species